rnacentral:rRNA from 1 species
GACAGAGGGGGGCAAGCGUUGCUCGGAAUUACUGGGCGUAAAGAGCGCGCAGGCGGUCGAUCAAGUCGAGUGUGAAAGCCCCCGGCUCAACUGGGGAGGGUCAUCGAUACUGAUCGACUCGAAGGCAGGAGAGGGUAGUGGAAUUCCCGGUGUAGUGGUGAAAUGCGUAGAUAUCGGGAGGAACACCAGUGGCGAAGGCGACUACCUGGCCUGUUCUUGACGCUGAGGCGCGAAAGCUAGGGGAGCAAACGGG